CACUUCCUUCUGGGAUUCGCAUCCCCACCUAUCCCUUUGGUUGAACUAGAUGGACUUUUUUCAACCGUAUAAACUAUGUAACUAUAUGUGUUGUACACGAAGGGCACUAAUAGUACUAGUCCCAGUUUGUCCACGACUAUAAAUAUAAACACAUGCUAUGAAUGUCCUGCAUUUGAUGACUCACAGACCUACGUGCGGCCCUGUACGAACUACUUGACCUAUACACAUAUGCAAUCUUUACUGCUAUAAAACAUACAGAUUCCAAUUUAUUCCCGAUACACACUUCCUCAUAGAAGUACAGCUAUGAGUGAAGCAGACUGACAGGAGGAGGAAUGUCACAUGUUAUAAAGUGAGAGAACCAGCUAGUGAACCCUGAUCACAAUUUUGUAAUACCCCUGCCACGGCUUUGCAAAACCCUGGUCAUGUCGCCUUUUGUAACAUUAAGCUGCCUGGUGCAUAGCAAGUUCAACAAAAAAACAAUCAUUACAGAAUUACUUUAAAAAUGAGGCGUCUUACACUAAAGGCUUUGUAUACAACCAUCAAUCUCAGAACUUUGUCAGGAACCUUCCCAUAAACGUUACCUAAAGCCAGUUCAAGCGCUAAAUGUGAAAGGUCUAUAGGCACCAAAUAACCAUCACCUUUGACCGUUCCCAAAAUCAUAGAACAUAAGACUGCUUGUGAUAUCAGUACUUGCUAUAUACUGUAGGUCAUGACAUUUAUUGAUUGGAAACUACUACUUCUAUGAACCAUAGAUAACCUAUAAUCCAGUCCUGAUGCCAAGAAUCAGGCUUCAUUUCCUGCAUGACUGGCAAAAAGAAUGGAUCUCUUUUAAAGAGAAUCUGUCAGCUCCAAAACAACUCCCCAAAUUAGAGUAAGCAAGAUAUAUUCUAAGUGAUGCAGAGUCCGGUUAUGUAAUUUUUAUCUUCAUGCUUACUUGUGUUUCGAUGCUGUGCUUAGACAAAUCAGCAGAAAAAUGUAUUGAGUGGAUUCCUGCUUGAGUCCUCUUUAUUAUGUGAGUGAGCUCAGGAGUCCUCGCAAUGCACUUUACUGAUGGUUUUUGAAGCACAGCGUAGACAGUGAGUAUGAAGAUAAAAAUUAUAUAAUCCGAUUCGGCGGCACUUACACUAUACACUGUUUACUUUACUUUGGGGCGUGUUUUGGAGCUGACAGAUCCCCUUUAAAGGGAGGUCCACAUCUGGCUGGCAACAGAAAGUUACAUUGGUAGCACAACUCUCGCACCUGAUACAGACAGCCGUUCCAAUUAACGUCAGCAAAAACAGAUGUAUGUGGCGUCCAUAUGGUCUCUGUGUGUACCCAUUUUUUUAAAAUAAAUAAAUAAAUGAAGGAAGGGUCAUAAUACAGAAUAGAAUAGUGCAUGCAGUGGCAAGCAACAGAUGUACGCACAUGGAUGUAUACUAGUCCCACUGUACUCAAGUCAAACUUGAUAGUCCACAAACAGAUUCCUUACCACAGGAGUCUUAGUAGGUAGCGAAAACCCAGAUAGUUGUGAUAUACCACCAAGUAGAGAUAAUAAAGAGGCGGUGACUGAUCUUAAAAUUACAGUACACUCUUUAUCCGGAAACAGAAAACCCCAAAAGUCUCAUAAUCCUGCACAGACCAGGAAACUAUUGUUAUUAGAGAACAACGUUUUAAGAUAUUUCGUAUUAACGGGGUUGUCCCUGAUGAGGCAACCCCUUUCAUAAUGCUCUUCCCUGCGUGAUGAGCCGAUUGCUCCAGGUCCUGCUCCAGGUGCCACCAACAAAUAGCUGAUUUUGCUGAGGGAAAGUCACAGCCAGCAAAGCACAAUCUACAGGACAAAUAAAGCAUUAUCAUCAUAUGAUGGCCAUUCAGAUGAGAGCCCAUCCUGAAUACAAGGGCAGCUUGAGUCCACCAGAAUGGCAGAUGUUGAUACAGAGCAGAUCUCUGUCCUAGCUCAUAGAGAGAGGGGGACCCCACUCUACAAUGUCCAUAUUCCCUAAUAGGGCACAAAGAUGGGGGUUUAAUUCAACAAUUUUUUUUUAUGGAUCAUCUUCCUGAAGGUUCUCUACCCUUGGAAGGGAGUUUCUAUGACCUACUGCUAAUCAAGUAUUUGAUAACCCAUCAAGUCACUAAUUGAUGGUUUAUAUUAAAGGAAUUUUACUUUAGAUCAGCGAUCCCCAACCACCAGGCCGCAGACCAGUACCAGGCCAUGGAUCAGCUAGUACUAGUCCAUGGGGAGUUGAACGGCGGUGACAGGCACUAUUAUCUCCUGCACCCCGCCGUUUAGUACAGGUGGCGUGACAAUGUCAUCACGCCACCAGAGACCCAAUGCAGGAGGUUGCUAUAACAUUUGCGACCUCCUGUACCAUAAUGCAGGGAGCCGGGGCAGCAGGCUAGAAAAGACCUGUAUCGCAGACCGCCAGUCUUUUUUUUUUCUGAGUUGUGAACACUACUGGGGGCACUAGGGAGGAGGGGUUGAGGCAUUAUAUACUGGGGGGCACUAUAAGUAAAGAAGGUGAUCUAUAUGUAAAGAGACCACUACUGGGGGCACCAAGGAGGAGAGGUUGGUGCAUUAUUUACUUUGAGGCACUAUAUCUAAAGAGGCACUACUGGGGAAGAGAGCCAUAUUUAAAGAGACCACUACUGGGGGACACUAUGUUUAAAGAGGCCACAACUGGGGGGCACUUUAUGUAACGAGGCCACUACUGGGGGGCAUUUUAUGUGAAGAGGGCACUUCUGGGGGGUAUUUUAUGUGAAGAGGGCACUACUGGGGGGGGGAAUUAUAUCUACUGGUGCCUAAAUGGGGAUAAUUACUAAGUAGGUGCAUAAAAGGAUCCAUUAAUACUAAAUAGAUGUACUCAAUUAUACAGAAAGAAGUUAUGGUCAAGAGAUGUCAUCAGAGUGAUACGCGCAGGACUGAGAAAAAAAAGGAAAGAACGACUCCAGUGGAGGAGACCUCACCUGAAAGUCACUGAAUGGGGGGGACAUUACCUGUAAGUCACUGAAUGGUGGCAUAAAUGGGAAAAUUAUUUUAUGUGAAACCAGUCCCUGGUACAAAAAAGGCUGGUGACCACUGCUUUAGAUGACCACUGCUUUAGAUGACCACCAAGGGCCUUUACAGGAACCAAAACGACCUCACAGUGCUCGGCAGAAUUUUAUGUUGUCCAUAGUCACAGUAACAUCAUUUACAUGAACAAUUUUCUAGUGAGGAGAAUAAACUUUUGUAAAACAGGAAAUUACUAAGAAAAUGUUUGCUUUUCAUAAUUGGGGAUACUUCCUCCAGAUUAGUUUAUAUUGGAGGAGAGACAAGAGAAUGCAAGACAUGCAAUGAGAAAAUAUUACACAGCCAUCGAUAGCCAAACACAUCUCCGACAGUCCUACAUGGAUCUGCUUGACCUGUUUAGUGUGAUGCCAGAUAGACUUUAUGUAGACAGGGAGCACAUCUCCAUGCACAGUGAUCCUGGACACUUCCUCAACGGCAACAUGGAACCGAUUUACCAGAAUCACUUGGUGUUUUGUUUAGUGAUGUGAUGUCUUCCUUCCAAAUUGUUUAACGAAAAGGUGAGAAAAGAAAGAAGAAGAAUCCUAUACAAAUCUGAAAAGCAAUUUCUGAAAACUGUGGCAGCGAAAAGAACAUUCGUCAGAGUGAUGCAGCCCAUGCGCACCCAGCCCUGCCAGAUGGAGGGAAUCCGCUCUGUCUGUUUUCAUUUACUAUAGCGGCGUGGGAAGGAGCGAGAAGAUAAAAGAUCCAAGGGAACAUCUUAAGAAGACGCCUUCCCCUCUUCUUCACACGUCUGGUUCAUCAUCUCUGUAAUAAUCUGGGACAGACUAAGAUGGAGAACACAAGAAUGCAGUCGACAGAAAUGAAUGGGGAUUUUACCGGCUAAACCCAACAUGUAACAUGAAAAGCCGUAUUCUGAAAGUCACAUCUAAAUGUGCCAGGAAUUGGAUUUCUGGUACCCGAUUAUAAAGUUUAGAGCUUCACAGAAAAAA